UACGUAGGGACCAAGCGUUGUUCGGAUUUACUGGGCGUAAAGGGCGCGUAGGCGGCAUGACAAGUCACUUGUGAAAUCUCCGGGCUUAACUCGGAACGGUCAAGUGAUACUGUCGCGCUAGAGUGCGGAAGGGGCAAUCAGAAUUCUUGGUGUAGCGGUGAAAUGCGUAGAUAUCAAGAGGAAUACCUGAGGUGAAGACGGGUUGCUAGGCCGACACUGACGGCUGAAGCGCGAAAGCCAGGGGAGCAAACGGGG
rnacentral:rRNA from 1 species